AAAUGAAUUGACGGGGACUUGCACAAGCAGUGGAUUAUGUGGUUUAAUUCGAUGGUAAACGAAGAACCUCACCAGGGUUUGAAACCCACGUGAAAGCUCCUAGAAACAGGAGCCCUCGCAAGACUAGUGGACAGGUGCUGCAUGGCCGUCGUCAGUUCGUGGUUUGAAUUGUUCCCUUCAGUGGGGUAACGAACGCAACCCUCGUCGUGUGUUACAAGUGUCACACGAGACUGCCCCCUCUCGGGGGAGGAAGGUGAGGAUGACGCCAGGUCAGCAUGGCCCUUUGAUACCCUGGGCUACACACAUAAUACAAUCGCCGUUACAACACGACGCAAUACCGUAAGGUGGAGCAAAUCGUUAGAAAAACGGCGCCAGUUCGGAUUGAGGUCUGCAACUCGACCUCAUGAAGCCGGAAUUGCUAGUAAUCGCGGGUCAGAUAUACCGCGGUGAAUACGUUCUCAAGUCUUGUACACACCGCCCGU
rnacentral:rRNA from 1 species